GCGCAGUUGGCGUAGCGGUCAACGCGUUCACCACUCAGUGUACAGGCUGUCUGGGUUGAAAUCCCCGGCGAACCACUGUCAAAGACCGACUCUGGGGGGGCAUGGGCAUAUAUGAGCAAAUGGUGAAAGACCCAGGUUCGAUUCCUGGACUGCGCA